rnacentral:rRNA from 1 species
AUUGAACGCUGGCGGCAGGCCUAACACAUGCAAGUCGAGCGGAUGAAGGGAGCUUGCCCCUGGAUUCAGCGGCGGACGGGUGAGUAAUGCCUAGGAAUCUGCCUGGUAGUGGGGGAUAACGUCCGGAAACGGGCGCUAAUACCGCAUACGUCCUGAGGGAGAAAGUGGGGGAUCUUCGGACCUCACGCUAUCAGAUGAGCCUAGGUCGGAUUAGCUAGUUGGUGGGGUAAAGGCCUACCAAGGCGACGAUCCGUAACUGGUCUGAGAGGAUGAUCAGUCACACUGGAAGUGAGACACGUUCGACACUCCUAGGGGGGGAGGCGGGGGGAAAUAUUGAACAAGGGGAGAAUGUUUAACACCCCAAUGCGGGGUGUGUAAAGAUGGUUUUGUGUUUGAAAAGCUUUUAAAUUUGGGAGAAGGGGAAAUAAUUUAAUACCUUCUUUUUUGGACGUUACAAAAAAAAAAGACCCGGCCUAACUUGGUG